rnacentral:sRNA from 1 species
GGCCAACGGCCUGGAAUUCACACACGUAUCGUCACCUGGGGCUGGGUGCCGGGUCCUACAGGACCUAGGUUGUCACGGGGGAUGCGUGGAGGAUUAAA